GCGCCUAUAGCUCAACUGGCAGAGCAGGUGACUCUUAAUCACAAGGUUCCAGGUUCGAUUCCUGGUAGGCGCA
rnacentral:tRNA from 1 species